rnacentral:lncRNA from 10 species
GACAAAUUCUGCUAACAGUUCCAAGGUUUAAAACUGGGGAAGUUAGAGACAUGUUAUUAUUAUUUUUUUUAAUUUCAACUUUUAUUGUAGACACAGGGAGUACAUGUGCAGGUUUGUUACAUGGGUAUAUUGCACCCAGGUAUUGAGCAUAGUACUCAAUGGGUAGUUUUUCAACCCACAUCUCCCUUGCUCCCUCCCCUGUCUAGUGGUCCACAGUGCCUAAUGUUCCCAUGUGUAUGUCCAUGUAUGCUCAAUACCAUAAUCCUAAGUGAAUUAAUGCAGGAACAAAGACAUGUUUUUGUUUUUGUUUGAAUGCUACAUCUGGGGCUGGCUAGGAUUGAGAAGACACUAUGUCUUGCUGAUAUGUCAGUCGCAACUUCAGCCUCUUUUGUGUGUGUGUGUGUAAAAAAGAAAUCUUUUUUAUUUAUUUAUUUUCAAAUUAUAAAUUCAUAGGGUACAUAUGCAGGCUUGUUACAUGGGUGUAUUGCAUAAUGCUGGGUUUAGGCUUCUAGAGAACCCAUCACCCAAAUAGUGAACAUAGUAUCCAAUAGGUAGUUUUUCAAUUCUUGUCCCCCUUUCCACCCUCCCCACUUUUGGAUUUCUCAGAUCUAUUUUUUCCAUCUUUAUAGCCACCAACAUGAGUCUUUUGAUGAAAUAAUGUUUGGCUGAGGUCCACAACUUAAAACAACAUUCCAAUAUAGAUUCUCAUGAUCCCUGAAGAAGUGUGUCUGAUGUGGCUAAACAUCAUCAAAUGAGUAAGUCAACAUAGUAAAAGAAAAGAACAGUUCUUUAUCAGAUUAAAUGAGCGAAACAGCUAAAUGUCAAGUGACAAAACAUUGGGACUGACUGUAUAAAAUGCUAAUAACAUCUACCAAACAGUUUACAUUGUGCUAAACAACUUAUGCACAUUAUUUCUUUGAUUCUUUUUAACACAUGGUUGUGGGCUGAAUGGUGUCUCCCAAGAAGUCAUAUGCCGGGAUCCUGUCCCAUAGUGCCUCACAACGUGACAUUGUUUGGAGUUAGGGUUGUUGAAGAUGUCAUUAGUCAAGAUGAGGUCAUACUUGAGUGAGGUGGGUUUCUAAUCCAAUGUGACUGGUGUCUGUGAAAAGGGGAAAUGUGGACACAGGUCCACAUAUAAGGAGAACACCAUGUGAAGAUGAAGGUAGAAAUUACAGUGAUGUGUCUACAAGCCAAGGAACACCAAAGAUUGACAGAAAAUCACCAGAAGCCUAGAGAGGCAUGAAACAUUCUCCCUCAGAGCCUUCAGAAGAAAGCAAUCCUGCUGGCACCUUCAUCUUGGACUUUGAGCCUCUAGAACUGUGAGGCAAUACAUUUCUGUUGUUUAAGCCACCCAGUUUGUGGCAUUUUGUUACAGCAGCACUGGAAUCCUAAUGGAUGCUGUAUUAGAUAAAUAUUUUAGGCUUAGGAAGAAGAGAACUGUAGACAUGCAGCAGCCAUCUUGUGGAUAUGAGGGAAGAGCCAAAUAGACUACAAAUCGGUUAACACAGAGAACUAAAAUUGUGGAGCUACUGAAUGAACCAGCUAUGGAAUUGUCUGUGUGUGGGCAUUCAGAUGGACAUACCGGAUAAAAUUCUGGACUGGCAACAGAAGCAUCUUCUGUUCUAAUGAAGUGACUCUUGGUGUGUACCCGGAUAACCUCAUGACUGGAGUUGGUUGGCUGCUAGAAGAACAAAUCAUGUGAUUAGAGUGUUGGAACUUUCAACCUUAGCCCUCAACUUCUGGGGAGGGGAGAAGCGCAAAAGGUAGAGUUGACCACUAAUGGCCAGUGAUUUAACUAAUCAUGCCUAUGUAAUGAAGCAUCCAUAAAAAACUAAAGAUCACGGUGCAGAGAGCUUCUAGAUUGCUGAAUAAGUGGUAGUUCCUGGAGGAUGAUGCACCCAGAGAGGCAUGGAAGCUCUGUACCUCUUUCCACAUGUCUUUGCCUAUGCAUUUCUUCCAUCUGGCGGAUCAUCUGUUUGCUUUGUAGUAUUUUGUAUUUAAAAAAUGGAUAAAUGUAAAUAAAAUGUUUCCCUGAGUUAUGUGAGCCACUAUAGCAAAUUAAUUGAACCAAGGAGAUCAUGGAAACCCCAAUUUAUAGCUGGUUGUUCAGAAGCACAGGCCAAAGCCUGGAGCAUGUGAUUGGCAUCUGAAGUUGGGGGGAGUCUUGAGGAAUGGAGCCCUCGACCUAUGAAAUCGGACACUAACUCCAAGUAGAUAGUUGGGUGAAUUAGAAGACACCCAGCUGGUGUCCACUAGAGAAUUGUCUGGUGUUUGGGAAAAACUCACACCCAGUUUGGUGACCAGAGUUGAAGUGUAGUGUUGAGAAUAGAGAGUAAGAAAAAAGUCUGCUUUUCCAUCAAAGGUACCACGUCUGUUUCUCAUACUACUUGAAGGAGUCUAAAUCAUACUAUAUGGGAAACCGUAAAAUGUAGCAUCUAAAAGUUUACAACUUUUGGUAGGAGGCAGUCUGUGCCUCCCACCAAAACUCAUAAGGUAUGAAUUCAUCAAACUGUAUUACAGAGAGUUUUGGUGCUAGGUGGCAGAAAAGAAUAAUCGAUGUGUGCAGUGUAUCUUCUUUUUGAGUUUAGCCAUUCUACUGGGUGAAAACUGAUUUCCCAUUCUUUCUCUUAUAACAUUUUCCUAAUACUAUGUUUAAGAUAUGUUUUAUUUCAUUUUCCUAAUUUGUACUUUUAUCUUUUUCAAUUAUUAAUAUAGUUUUGUGCUCUUAAAUUUUUAAUGCAAUUUAUAUUUUGGUAGUAUCUAAAGUAUCAAUCAUUUUAUUAUUCAUUCACCUUAAAAUGUGGCUAUGGUUUGGACAUUUGGAUUAAGUGAUGACAUUGUAAUUCAGCCAGAACUGGCAGUAAUCAUCAGUGUUUGGCAUGUUUUGAGAACAAAAGUCCCAGUUCCUGGAAGGGUGGCCCUUUAUGUGAACACAGAGUGCACACUCUGUAUGGUGUAAUCCAAGACAGUUGAACGGUCUGCCUGCCAAAAAUAUGCCUUCCACCAGGUUUUUAUAAAGACUAGUAUUACCAGCUUGAAGGCCAUUUUCUGAUUUAGGGCAUUAAAACCUAAGGACCAUGUUAAAAGACUGAAAUUAACAUUCACUGACUUGUUCAUUCAUUAAACUUUUUUAAGUUUUUUAAUUGACAAAUAAUUAUAUACAUCUAUAGGGUACAAUGUGAUGUUUUAUGUAUGUGUGUGUAUGUAUACAUGUGUAUAUAUAUAUAUAUAUUUUUUUUUUUUUUUUUUUUUUUUUUUUGAGACGGAGACUUCUCUGUCGCCCAUGCUGGAGUGCAGUGGCACUAUCUCAGCUCACUGCAAGCUCCGCCUCCCGGGUUCACACCAUUCUCCUGCCUCAGCCUCCCGAGUAGCUGGGACUAAAGGCACCCGCCACCACGCCCAGCUAAAUUUUUGUAUUUUUAGUAAAGACAGGGUUUCACCGUGUUAGCCAGGAUGGUCUUGAUCUCCUGAUCUCGUGAUCCACCUGCCUCAGCCUCCCAAAGUGCUGGGAUUACAGGCAUGAGCCACUGCACCCAGGCGAUGUAUGUGUGUAUUAUAGAAUGAUUAAAUCAAGCUACUUAACAUAUCCAUAACCUCACUUACUUAUGUUGUUUACAUGUGCUAUGAACAUUUAAAAUCCACUCUCAUAGCAAUUUUGAAAUAUACAUUACAUUAACUAUUGUCACCAUGCUGUGCAAUCGAUUUUAAAAACUUAUUCCUCCUAUUUAACCAAAACUUUGUAAAUAUUUAAUGAGUGCCUCCUAUUAGCCAGACCCUGUUUGAGGCACUAAUGACACAGAGUUGAAAGUCAAGUUUGAACCUCUCUUCUUAGGCAUAUAACUGUAGGCAAAUUGUGUCAACUCUGGCCAGUUUUCACAUUUAAAAUAGAGAUGAUAAUGCUGCCCACUUAAUGGGUUUGCUCUAAGAAUUAAAUGAUAUUGUUUACGGUGCCCAGAAGGAAGGUAGGCCCACUGGCAGUCAGCGCACGUAAUGGACCAAGGGGUCUUUGAAGAAAGAACAUAUCCAAGUACAGGCGAUGAGCUUGUAUUUGAGCACAAUGGGGCAAUGUUGAAUGGCAGUAUGGGAGGUGCUAUCUGUGAUCCUCCCACAGUCUGAUGACAGGGCCAACACCAAAAGGUGUGAUCUAAUCAAGCACCAAGCGCCCACGCAAGGGUGCUGUCCAAACCAGAGACAGCCUAUGGGGACUGCCAGUUAGCUCUGCCAAAAAACAUCCUUCCUGUCCAAGUCUCCCCCAAGUCUCUAAUAAGAAGAGCCACCUUGAAGCUUUGGACUCCAAGCAUGGCUUUCCGGUACAACUUUAACACAGAAGUUUAUAUUCAAUUACCUACAGAUACCAAAAUUAUCAUUACUAUCAUUAUUAAUAAACAUACAGUUAAUUACAACAAGGUACGACAAAUCUAUAAUAGACGUAGGCUAGGCUGCUAUGGUUGAUGAGAGUAUAGAGGGAACAGCACUUCCCAAAUUGGAGCAGAGGAAAGAAGGUUUAUAGAAGGCACCCAGAGGAGAAAAAACUUGAAUCAAGUCUUCAAGAAUGAAUAUGAGUUAUUCUGGAGAAGAAAGUAUGUGUGUUUGGCAGGAAGUACAAAUGCUUGGAGAAGACAAAUUAAAUAGCACAUCCAAACUAUGGGGAUGUGAAAGAAUGUGGAGUGUUGGUAGACUUAUGAAAGGGUAGCGUGGGCCAGGACAUAACCUAAAUGUGGGAGAAUGGAGAGAAAGGAUGCUGUUCAAAUUAUGGAUGGCUUUGUGUACGACAUUGAAUUGAGACAUUGUGUUCAAUAAUAUAAGGAGACAUAAAAUGACUUUCAGGGUGGUGGAUGGUGGGAGGUCAUGAUUAUCUGUAUUUUAGACUUUCUACUCAGAGAGUAGUGGGGAAGUUGACUGAAGGAGUUUAAGAUUAGUAACCAGGAGAGCCCCAUCAUAUCAAUGCAGUAAUCUCAUGGGGAGUGGCAAUGGCUAAAGUAGUAGCAGUAGCAAGGAAGGAAACAAUUAGAUACACACUUGAGAGGUAGAAUUGGCACUUGAGACAACUGGCUGAAGAACAAGGAGAACUCUUCAAAUAUUACCAGGUCCCUGGCCUGGACAACUGAGUUGAUGUGGCAUUAUCAAGCAUGGGAUGUAGAAGACCAGGGUCAGUUUGUUGAUUAUGUGUAGACUCUGAGAUGUCUGUGGAACACUAUUCCAAUGAGACCUGGAGCUCCCUGUAUAUAGUGAUAUUUUCAAGUUGUGACAGAUGUGUAUUUUACCAACUGGAUGAUCUCCAUGUCUCAUAUUAUCUUCCCCACAUGAUUCUUGUGAGUAUGGGCCUCAAAAGGCACCUGGUGUGAGAUUUAGAAGACAGAAGUGAAGUCGCAUUGGAUUAUUUUUAUGCUCCAGAGGUUGGAGCUGGGUAUGAGAUACAGUAACUACACAGUCAAGUUCUACCUGCCAACUCACCUUGGUGGCAACAUUCAGCCUCAUUCCUGUAUAAUCCUCUGUUCCUGCUGUAGCUCCUUCUUCAGCAUCUCUUGGGCUGGGUGAAUAAAAAAGGGGACUGGCUUCUACAGGACACCCAUGUUAUCAAGGGUUACUUCUUAGUAAGAGACUGACGUGUGUUCCAGUUCAUCUUCAUAAGCCAACUCAUCCAGAAGGUCCCAGUUUUUCCUCCUGGGUUCUAGCUCAGACUGUCAGGUUCCACUUUGUCCAUGGUUUCUUUCUUAAAUGCCUGCUGUGAUGACUUCAGGCUGAUAUAGAAGAAAAGAGCCUCCCAUAUUACUAUUGAAUUGCCUCCCAAAACUGCAAAAGGUCAAGUCUCUAUGGAUAAUCCUUACUGGUUCUUCUACUCUGAUUGAAGCCUGACUGACACAACAAAUGUGAUUUUUAUAAACCUCUUUUUCAUUGUAUACAGCUUGGUAUACAUAGUCCAACUAUCCAGACACUUUGGUCCCUGGGACCAAAGGUUAGCAGUUUUAGAAUUCCAUCAGUCUAGCACCCUGCUGUUCAGUUAGCAUUAAGCCAGUGGCCCAUCUCCUCAAGCUCAGAAAUCAUGUGUACAAUAGAUUGAAAAUCUAAAGCAGGGGUUGGCCUGCAUUUUCUGUGAAGUGCCUAAUAGUAAAUAUUUUAGGAUUUGUAGCCCAUAAAGUCUUUAUUGCAACUAUUCUGCUUGCAAUAUUGAAUAACAAGCAGCCAUAGAAAAUAUAGAAAUUUUAAAAUAUGGCUGUGUCACAAUAAAACUUUACUUACAAAAACAAACAGUACAGAUUU